UCGAGAAUCUUCCGCAAUGCACGAAAGUGUGACGGAGCGACGCCGCGUGAUGGAUGAAGCCCCUUGGGGUGUAAACAUCUUUUAUGUAUGAAGAAAUUAUUGACAUUAGUACAUGAAUAAGAGGCUCCUAACUCUGUGCCAGCAGGAGCGGUAAUACAGAGGCCUCGAGCGUUAUUCGGAAUUAUUGGGCGUAAAGGGUGCGUAGGUGGUUAUAUUAGUCGAAUUUCAAAGACCCGGGCUCAACCUGGGGAAGGGAUUCGAAACGGUAUGACUAGAGUCAGUGAGAGGUAUGCAGAACUCAUGGAGUAGGGGUGAAAUCCGUUGAUAUCAUGGGGAAUACCAAAUGCGAAGGCAGCAUACUGGCACUGUACUGACACUGAGGCACGAAAGCGUGGGUAGC
rnacentral:rRNA from 1 species